GAGUUUGAUCGUGGCUCAGGAUGAACGCUGGCGGCGUGCCUAACACAUGCACGUCGAACGGGCGCGGCGUGCGGCAGGGGCCUCGGCCCCUGCGGCGCCGCGCGAGUGGCGGACGGGUGAGUAACGCGUGGGCAACCUGCCCUGUACUGGGGGAUAACACCUGGAAACAGGUGCUAACACCGCAUAAGCGCGCUGUGCCGCAUGGCACGGCGCGGAAAACCCCGGUGGUACAGGAUGGGCCCGCGUCUGAUUAGCUGGUUGGCAGGGUAACGGCCUACCAAGGCGACGAUCAGUAGCCGGCCUGAGAGGGUGGACGGCCACACUGGGACUGAGACACGGCCCAGACUCCUACGGGAGGCAGCAGUGGGGGAUAUUGCACAAUGGGGGGAACCCUGAUGCAGCGACGCCGCGUGGGUGAAGGAGCGUUUCGGCGCGUAAAGCCCUAUCGGCAGGGAAGACAUUGACGGUACCUGACCAAGAAGCCCGGCUAAAUACGUGCCAGCCGCCGCGGUAAG
rnacentral:rRNA from 1 species